GCGAACGCUGGCGGCGUGCUUAACACAUGCAAGUCGAACGGGAAAGUCCUCGGGGCGAGUAUAGUGGCGUACGGGUGAGUAACACGUGGGUAACCUGCCCUCGAGACGGGGAUAACCUACCGAAAGGUGGGCUAAUACCGGAUAAGACCACAUUCACGCAGGUGGAAGGGGUCAAAGAUGCCCUCUGUAUAUGGUAUCGCUUGGAGGAUGGGGCCCG
rnacentral:rRNA from 1 species